rnacentral:misc_RNA from 1 species
GUGUCUGGCACCCACUGUGCGGCGAACUGACGUUUCCUACGGGACUGUUGUUGCCUGUCUGUUCUGGGAUUCCCUGCAUAGCGACGUUCACGUUGCUUCCAGUAUUGUUGACUCCGGCGAGUCCGUAACCAACGUAGUAAUCUUGUCCAGGUGCUUGAGUAGUCGGUGCGGGAUUAGACGGGCACUUAUAGGUCAUCAUAGUUUCAUUCUCCUUAUAAACCGUCUCUGGAUGAUGCUGUUGAUGAUCUUUCACGGAGAACCCGUCCGUAGCUCUACGGUUCUCCAGUUUUGUAUGUGACUUCCGUCGUCUUGUAUGUUACUUCCGAUAUGGGCGGUGUCUUGUAUGUGGCCUCAGGAUAGGACCAAUCAGCAGAGACCGCGGCACCAGGUGCUGCGUACAUCGCAUAUUCUUGAUAAUUUUGAUACUGAUUUUGAUAUCCAUUCGCGUAUUCCAUGGCU